CUGCAUGUAUAUACUGUAUGUGUUAUCAUUGGUGUAUUAUGACCUCCGCCAAUGAUCUGACACAUUCUCGUAAGCAAAGAAUUUUACAUUCUUUCAUAAAUAUGAU